AGUGUGUUGCCUUCAAUGCUUCACCCGGUACCUCCUUUUAUAGUCGCGGCAGAGGCUUCUGGAGUUGCUUCGUGCUUAAGGCUUCUGGUGCCUUCAACUAUUCUCCUCUUCUGUUGCCUGGACACUUGGACGGCUCUCCGCUCCUCAAUAAUUGUCCUGGUAAACGAAGCAAGACAACGUGACCAGUUGCCAGUGGGCAUGGAACAAGAAACAACGUGCGCGUGUUUCCAACUGCCAGGUGUAACACGGAUGGCGAUUUGGUACAGUGAAGAAAAAGGUGCAUGCAUAUAAUGAUGUUGACUGCACCUGCUGAGUGUCAUGGGAUGAAACUAUUCUCACAUCUCAUGGAACUCCUUCUUCUCUCUCCUCGUACUGAACUUGCCAAGUCAGCAAAAUUGCUGAUGUGACAUUGAGUUUAAUGUCCAUGAAACUCCUAUGAAAUUGAGAUUGGCCCAAGUAGUCCUUGUCGAAAAGCAUUUAAUAUCUAUUGUGGCGUCGAACCUAAUAUCCAUGCUUAGCUUCGGUAGAAGUUGAGAGGUGGGAAAGUCACCACCUAUCACGAGCUGUAGGCAUGUUUGCUUAAUUCCUACACAGGUAGCUAAGUGAAUAAAAUUAAGCUGAACUAGUGGAAUGAUGAAUCGAACUUGGGCAAGUGUGGUAGGAUCAUGUUGAGAUUGGAGCUCACUUUACAAGCCUUUCUUGGUUGAUUGAGGCCUGGUCGUUAUCGCUAUGAUACCUGAGCAUUAGUUCGUACAAACCACAUGCAUAAUAUGGUAAUGGCAAGCCAAGCAACAUAAGUCGUAUCAUGCCUUGGCUGGAUUUGGCGCGGGACAUGGGAUGAGGUGUGAUCGGUUGUGUCCAGUGCAUCUAUACAUUUGUCACCGUUCGUUCAUCACCGGGUGAGUAUGUAAACAGUUAUAGGCAUGAAUCAACACUUAUCCUAGGUCUAUGUACACCCUUGCAGGGUUUUGAUCAAUUGCAGUAGCCAUGCUCCCGAUUAAAGAGCACCCUCGUGUACUUGGACUUUAAUGUAUGAAAUAUUUGGGAUCAUGUUCACAUGAUCAUGUUUACUUAUUGCUUAUUUGACGCUUGAUUUAGAGAUCAUAGGAUAUCAUGUCUUUUGCUUAUUAUAACUUGAUCAAAUGUAGUUGCUUUUAUGCAAAUUCAUUGCCAAUACCAAUUCCUUGCUAGG